UAAUAUGGGCUCCAUAUGAAGUGGUCGGAUUCGCAUCUUGGUAAAGUCAAACAUGAAAUUCCACUCCAAAUCAGACAUGCUGCAUGACUCCGAGAAAUUAUUUUAAAUAUCAUCGCUAUCAGAUCCGGCUGUUUCAUCUACUUUCUUCGUUUCUAUAUUUUUUUUUCUUUUUUUAAUCACACGAGAGAAGUCAGGGAAUAAAGAGAAAGAUAUUUAUGUCAACCAACACUUCGUCAUCGAUUAUUAUUUGAAGGUAUUACAACUUCUGUUUACCUUCAUUACUUUCAAUGUUAGAUUCAGUGUCCAGUUUUGCAACGGAGAUGUUUUCUUUAGAGGUAUUUGAAUCAGAAUAAUGAUCAGAACUUUUGUCAUUAUAAUCAUAGUCAACCGACACUUCGUUAUCUUCCAAAAUUAUGUAUUCUUAAACUACCAAUCAGAGUAGGUAAAAUUUUAUAAAUGUUGUUAACAUAAUAACUCAUUUUUUUUUCACUUACCAGGGCAUGGUGUCUCAUGGUGAACAUUAUAGCGAUUGAAAAAAUUGCUGCAGUUUUUAAGACAUUGUCUGGACAAACUUGGCAAGCCGCGGGACGGGGGCCCAUAUUAGCCCAGCAUUGAGUUCUAAUACGCAAACGGAGACUGUUUUUGAAGGAGCAAGCUUGGUAGCCGUCUUAACAUGCCGGAGCAGCACUCAGCCAUUCUGAUAGACCAGAAGACAGGAAGCAGCACACGCCUCUUAUGGCACGCACGCAAAAGUAUGCAAUUCGGUCCGUACUAUUUCUUGCGUUUGGGAAGAGACAACGGGCAAACUUGAUCUCCUUUAAACGUCCGAUUCUCUGAAAAUAUUUCUCCUAUCACACCUUUUCUUCACCAAACACAGCAUCGUCCCACUGGAGCCCUCUCCCGCCUAGCUCCCGUAGUUUAAUUUUAGCCUUAACAGUCAUCUAGGAGUCUGUCCCUAAAGGGUCAAACAAUCCAGCUACUUGGGCAGCAACCCUACUCUGGUGUAGUUCACAAUGGUCACUUUCAGGUGAUACACCAAAUAUUUAAGCAUCUAAGGCCAAUUGUAAAUCAGGUUGACCAGCAAUAAGAAUAGAUUUACAGACAUAUAAGUUCGCUUACUUUUACCGAUACUUUUAUUAAAGCAAAAAUAGCAAAAGCAGACAAAUUUUUCAUAGUUGUUAUUCUUCAUAUCACUGGUUAAGUGAAAUUUUCACCAGAGUUUUUUAUUUCAAAUGUCUUCCAAUUUUAUGCGUCUCUGAUCUAGAGACAUAAUUCUUUCGAGAUAACAACCCUAAAAAACGUUCCUCAAUAAAAGUUACAUUGGGAGGGUUUAAAAAAUAAAUUUAUGAUUUUACAUGCGUGUACCCACCAAUUCAAAAGAAUUGCCAACUACAGAUGAAAUAGGAAAUUUUUUCAA